rnacentral:lncRNA from 1 species
CACGCUAUGCACGCAAAAGACUGGUAAACCCGAAGCCCGAAACCCGUAAUAGUCGUCGACUCAAUUUUUAAUUUAUUUUUUUGUUGGUAUAUUAAAAUGCAGGAAAUACCUCUUGCUUUUGUUCGGGCGGCUGGUUUCUGUCAUGGGCAAACUGUUAUGAUGGAGUAUGAAGGCAGAUCGAUUACCGAGGUGGGAAUUCGCCGGAGGAUGAAUGGACCAAGAUUCAGGUUUCAAUUUGAGGCCAAUUGGGAUUCGUUUUGUCUCGAAACUAAUCUGGUUUUUGGUCCGAAAUAUUCAUUCCAAUGGAUCCCAAACAAAAACACUUUCAUUGUUAAAAUGGUUUAAUCCUUUAUUUUUGUAAAUACAAUUAUUAUUUUUGUUUGUUACUGUUCGUUUCAAAUUAUAAUUGCACUGCGAUGCUGUUAAUUUAAAAAAACAAAAUCUAAAAAAUAAAAUACAAUUUAAUCAUUUGUAAUAUUAUCGGCACCUAUCACAAUAAUUUAUAAUCCAAUACAAUUUGUAGUAAUUACUGGGAUGUGAAAAGUUCACACUUAUUAAGACAUAAAGUGAUUUCAACCUUAUGAUUCCCACGACGAUCGACCACCUCAGUUGUCAGCAGAAGGUUAUGGAGUAGGCCAAAUGAUUAUUCAUAGAUUGUUCGAUAAAGAUCCGCUGUUGAGGUAUGCUUAGUUGUUAUUACCGCGUAUUUAAUGGAUUAUCCUAACUUAAUACAAUAAAAUGUUCAAUUCAUCGUAAAAUAUUGAUCUACUAUUAUGCACAGGAAUCAUCCGGCCCUCGUAUUCAAACGGUGGGACAUGUUAAGGAGUGACCUCCUCACUUUGGAGCAUCCAAAUUUUGUUUCUGGAGGCGUAAGUCGUAAUAGUUCAUUUGCUUACCGAUCUAAUUAUUUACGCCAUACGCUAUUUUACAGUGUAAAUAUCUUUGGUGAAGGUUAUCGAUGGUGUGGCGACAAUGCUAACAUUAG